CCUCCCUCCAGUAGACCAGACACCCGGCAAUGAGCUCUUCUCUGGGCACUCUCAUUCUGAUCUUAACGUUUGGAGGAACCAGUGGCAAUUCAGUCAAACAGACAGACCAGAUUACUGUCUUGGAAGGAGCAUCUGUGACCAUGAAUUGCACAUACACGUCCACACUGUACCCGACUCUUUUCUGGUAUGUCCAGUACCCCAACAAAGCUCUGCAAUUUCUUCAGAAAGAGACGAUGGAAAACAGCAAGAACUUUGGAGCCAGAAAUAUUAAAGACAAAACCUCUCCUAUUACGAAAUCCUCAGUCCAGGUAUCAGACUCGGCGGUGUACUACUGUCUUCUGAGAGAUACACACAGUGCCAAGGGCAGGGAGGGGAUCUGUACAAAAACCUCAGGGGCCCAGGUGAGGUGUGUAGUGAGCCUGGGAACCCCACGCAGAGGAGACAGUUCUCUCUCAUAGUCCUGUUGGGACUUUGUUGGGAGAUAAAGAAAAACAAAAUCAACUGCAACUGCCUCUAAUUUCAGUGGAUUCUUGAACUGAAAAAGACAUGUGGGAAAGAAAAAUUAUUCCAGCAAGUAGAAUAAUUUUUGUACUGGAAAGAGAAAAUGGGAAAGUAUAAGUGAAAAGGUACAAAGAAAAGACUUCAAUGCUUUUAAUAUAAUCAGGUCUUCUGGAUCAUUUAAAUUAAUUUCCAAAACACACACAAAAAAAGAAUUUUCAAGCAUAGUUUGAGAAUUUUAAGGCAAAAUCUUUGGAAGCCUAAAGGGAAUGAAGGAAAUCCCAAACCCAUAAACCAGGAAGAAAUGGAUUGAUACCCAGCAACAGGGUUUUCGAGCAUAUUAUCAACAGAUAAUGUGUGUGCUCUUAGAAAAUAAUGGAGGAAUCAUUAUGAGCUAGAAUAUAUUCCCUAAAGAUAUUUUUUAAAUAAACUUACUAAAUUCAAGGUACUUCUCUAGACUAAAAUUGUCUCAAAUGUUUGCAUUUUGCUUUCCAUUAGAUCAUUAGGAAGAUAAGUAAUAUCAUACAUCACUUACUGAGUGAUGUAUUUAUCACAGGCCCUAUUAUACUAUAGAUAAUAAUAAUAGCUAGCAUUUAUCAAGUGCCUAACAUGUAUGAAGUAUUGUUUUAAAUGCAUCACAUACAUUCAUUCAUUUAAUCUUCACUACGACCCCAUGAAG